rnacentral:rRNA from 1 species
UACGUAGGGGGCAAGCGUUGUCCGGAUUUAUUGGGCGUAAAAGGCUUGUAGGUGGCCACGCCAAGUCGGAUGUGAAAUCUCCCGGCUCAACUGGGAGGGGUCAUUCGAUACUGGCGGGCUCGAGGCCGGUAGGGGGAAGUGGAAUUCCCGGUGUAGUGGUGGAAUGCGUAGAUAUCGGGAGGAACACCAGUGGCGAAGGCGGCUCCUGGACCGGUUCUGACACUGAGGAGCGAAAGCGUGGGGAGCGAUCCGG